CAACGCGGGCGCACAUACAUGUACACGGCAAGAGACUGCCACACACAGACUGCCACACACGGGUGCAGGCAAGGGUACACCGCUGUGGGAGCUCCGGCAAACGCUAGAUCCUGAAAAGCACAUCAAGAGGACACUUCGGCCCCGCAUGCAGACAAGAUCGAUACAAACGCGGCUUCUUAUCAGCGUGCUGCUCUUGUGCUUGCCCGUGUGCGCCCUUGGAGGUGUCGCGAACUACGAUAGCUACACCGCAGCACACAAGGCCCGCACUUGCAAAUUUUUGAAGGCGCUUAUCGCGUCGUAUCCGUUGCUGGAGGAUUUUACGUUGGGCACCUCCCACCACUGGUCGUAUGUGGACAGCGCUAUGAUGGGCGUCCGUUUCUAUCCGGGUGUGAUCUCGGCCGCUGAUUUACUGCCAGCUGUGCCGCCGGAUGUGCCGGGCAGCAGCAACCACCUCACCUCUACCGGUAGCCAGCGCGCUGAAUAGAGUCUUAACGGUGCGCCUCCGCCGAGUUUUGGGGAGGGGCAUGCCAAGAGUGCAGUGCAUUUCCAUGUGCGAAAGUGUUCUUACCGGUACGGCCCUGGCCGAGUGGUGUGGCAGGCGCGAACUAACGUGGCUGCUGCUCUACAAAACCAGAUCAACUGGGCGCGGUCUCGACUGCCUUGAUUGCGCUGCGCUUUCUGACACAGGCAAAAAAAAAAACAAAGUGGGGUGGCGGUGGUGGCGGAACCGGUGGUGAUGGGAAGAGGGGGGAUAAACGGAGAUGUGCACGUCUGUGCUCUUCUCUGCCUUGCCAACUCUUCUUUUUUAAUUUCCGCUCUCACCAAAAGUGUCAGCCCUGCUUGUCUUCCUCGCGCUCAGUCCCUCACUAGUGGCUACAUUUUUCAUGCGCGACAGUUUUUCGUUUAGCAGGGCUGCGCAGCUUCCGUUUGUCGCGUUUCCCCAGUUGUGUUAUCACUAGCCUUGAGCUUUCCCCUCUGUCUAUACAUAUAUAUGUAUUCCCAUUGGCGCUGCCGAUCGUCCUGACGAUAAAUAAAGUGGCGGUGAUGUGGUCAACUGGGUUUGAAGAGGACGGAGAAAACACACACACACACACACACGCACACAGUGUAUCAAGGGCGGUCGAUGAUCAAGCAAACAAAGAGAGGUUAUCCUCCGUUUCACGCCGAACUUUACCUUCCCUCGCUUCCCUCCCGUUGCGCCGCGCACCCGUGCCCGCUCGCUCACUCGAUGCAGACAAUCUUUUACAAAACAGCGCGUACGUGUUGCACCCUUGAUCUUUUCCUCCUUCGCCUGCUCCUUCCCCCUUCCAUGGCAUAGUUUCGUUACCAUGGAGGGAUUUCUUAUAUAUAUAUAUUCAUUAUUAUUAUUUUAUGAUCUGUGUUUUGUUACUGUUUCAUCUCUUCGUUUGUUGAGUUGUGCGUACCUGUGCGCGCCUUGUAGUUUGUUGUUUUCUCGAACGGCCACCGACGCCUCCCCUUUUUUAUCACGUUCUUUUACAUCCACGCUGCCGUGUCCUCACAUGCUUUCCUCAACGAAAUACUUUGCGUUUUUGUUUUGUUUUCGUUUUACGCGAUGUGGUGUGAAGUGCGCGCGCUUCUUCGUGUGCUCGCGCGGUGCAAGUCAGACGGCGCCUACAACUGUCUGUAAAGGUUUUACACUCACCGUGUGGGUGUGGGUCGGGGAAGGGGGAGGGGGCGGGCUCACAUGAGUUCCGUCAGCACCCAUAUGCAUUCGCGUGCCCACAUAUGCGGACAGUUGUUCUGGUGUGUUUCCCUUCUCUUUUCAUGUGACUUGUAACGGUUUGCUGGGUGUCUUUUUUCCUUUUCUGCUGCUUCCUUCUCGUUGGCGAUGCGCCAUCUUUUCUGUUUUGUGUGUUUCGUCCAUCCCCUUCCACCCCCUCUGACUCUGCCUGUGUCUGUCCGUCUCUCAAUGUGUGGGGUAGUCGAACUCAUCCCCCGCAGUGCAUCGCGCACGCCCUGCCUAGCAGACGGCUAACUGGAGGGGGUGUGAUGCGAAACAUGGCACCAAAGGAAAAGGAGUGGUGCGCCGCGUAAAGGUAGAGACGGCGACUCGCUCUAGACAUAUAAUGUUUUGCACGCUUUUAGGUGGACAGCGUAGCACAGAAAGGAAGUUGAUCGGAAAGCAGACGGCAUGCAUCCACAUGCGUCUUCUUCACACACUGAAAAAGAAGUCGCGGAACUCAUGGGAAAAGCGAAGGGCCUGCCCGAAACGGAUAUUAUGAACGGGGCUCGAUGACGACGGCGCCAACGUCCACCGGCGGAACAAUACGCGGAAUAGUUGGGGGCGGCAACCUCUCAAAAU
rnacentral:misc_RNA from 1 species